UACGGAGGGGGCUAGCGUUGUUCGGAAUUACUGGGCGUAAAGCGCACGUAGGCGGCGAUUUAAGUCAGAGGUGAAAGCCCGGGGCUCAACCCCGGAAUAGCCUUUGAGACUGGAUUGCUAGAAUCUUGGAGAGGCGAGUGGAAUUCCGAGUGUAGAGGUGAAAUUCGUAGAUAUCGGAAGGAACACCAGUGGCGAAAGCGGCAUCCUGGACCAACACUGACACUGAGGAGCGAAAGCCAGGGGAGCAAACGGG
rnacentral:rRNA from 1 species